GGCAUAAUAAGGAAAAAUGUGUAAAAAUUUGGUUAUUAAAAGAAAGUGGACAUUUAACAUAGAACUACCCAAAAUAGUAAUAAGGACUUUUAUCCUGGGACGGGGAGUGAGUAAUAAUUAGAUUGCAAUACUCGAAUAUACAUAAACAUAAAUAAUUUGUUAUCGUAUUAAUUAACGCGAACGAGAUAAAAAUCAUAAAUUUACAAGAAAGAUAAACUCUAACUCAUAUGUCUGUCUGUCAAAGAUUGUAUAUCAUAAAACCCUAAAAUAAUAUUCUCGAUCCUCCCUCAUCUAAGAAAACUUCGCAUAGAAACGGCACCUCUGAUACUUGUCGGCUCUUCCCAAAACCUAACUUCUUCCCCAAUAGAUUUGCCAUCGGCCACUGACCCAAAAUGGGAAACCCCGCCACCAGCUACCCAUUGGCCUGAAGACGUUCAGAAUGAUUAGCCUAUCCAACUCUUUGACACCUUCCUCCUUCCCGCUGAUGAUGAAAAAUUUGAAGGACUGAACCCCCAACAACUCCUCAUCAGUAGCGCAGUCCAUAGGGGUUGGGUAAGUGUUGCAUGUUGGUAAUGCUCCAAAAUCUAUAGUUUUGACAUAGUCCUAUAUCAUCUAUUUUAAAAACAUUACUUGUGUAUAUUAGUAAAUGCUGAUUUGAGUUUAGUAACAUGGUUGAGAAAAUAGUGAUAGGCUCGUGCACAUGAGGACCGCUAAGGAAUUGGGCUAGGUCAAGCUUUUGGUUCUUGGACUUCCAACGUAAAAUAUAAGACAUUCUUCAAUUUAACGUGCACAACAACAAAGCAUAUACAGACUUCUUCUUUAGUGGGCUACCUGGGGGAAAGACCAUUAGUACAUAAUGAACUUAAUUCAAAGCUCUUAUAUAAUAGGCACAAAUCAAUAGAAUAAUUAACUAACAAUUAAUGACUAACACAAACAUAAGAAUGAAUGAAUAAGAGUGAAAGAUGAAGACGACUUAAUUAUCCCACAAGUACCUAAAAAUGGAGAUGAAGACCUCCAAGGCCAGAACUUGAACUCCGGAUGAAACAGAAGCCCCACACAAAAGGAUGAUAUCGUGCCUUUCUAUAAGCAUCAUUAUUUGACAGCUAUUGUAUUAGUGUUCUAGAUGUUAAUUAUUUUAUUCCCUUGUUUAAUAGUACAAAACUAAGCAGAGCACUACUGAAUUUCUUAAGAGUUUCCAUGACAAAAGAGAAUAAACAAAAUCGAGUUCCAAAGAAGCAAAUUAACCAAUAUAUAUCAGCAGGAGAGAAAGGAACAACCUUACUGUGGGACAAAGGCAUAAUAAUUAGAAAAUGUUGCUAUUAACUGCAUCUACAACAUACAACUCGUCAUAUUGCGAAACACGAAUUUAAUAAGGCAUGACUCUCAAUUCAUUCCGUUCCACCACAAUUUCUACUAGGUAACUGUAUUCAAAUUGAAGAACAUCUCAUAACUCAAAAGAACUCAAAAAGAUAAAUUCAUAUAUGUAAACAUACAUAUACAUUCAAAUAGAAAUAGACAAUACAAGUAAACAAAUUGUUCAACAAAAUUUUAGUUACCUGAUUUCGGAGUUUUGGAAGACGACGUAGUAGUCCAUUUCAGAAAAGAAGAUAAAUGCUUUAUGACAGGCGUUGAAAAUCAUAAAUAACAAUUAUAGUGAAGAAAUAAAAACAAAAGAAGCAUACCAAUGAUCUGGAUUCCAUACAAAUCAAUUCAAAUUACAGAAUUCGAAUCAAUGUGUGCGUGUGUUACCAGUAGGAGCAGCAUGAGCGUGAAAUUGAAGAACAUAAUAAAGGAUGAGGGUUAAGAAAAUGAUAUAAACAAGAGAGGUUCUCAUGACUCUCUCUCUCUCUCAAUCACUAGUCAAACUUAAAAUGGUGGAAAAGAGUGGAUUUGCUCGUGAACGAGUAGAUUUGAUUGUGCAUAUUUCAGUCGAAAGCAAAGCAAAUAUGAGAUGGACAAUAAUGUUGAUCUUUUUAGACAUCGAAGAGGGACGAAUAGCUCCAUGAAUAUUUGCAUAGAAGUGCGAGAGAAAAUUAGAUCUGUUUGGAAUCGUGAAAGAUCUGCAUAUUGAGAUGAGUUUUGUUUGUGUGAACUAAGGCUAAGAGAACAAGUUUGUGCGAAAGAUCUGCAUAUUGAGAUGAGUUUUUGUUUGUGUGAGCGGCGGAAGAGGUAGAGGAAGGGUAACGACGACAAGGAGAGAGAAAGGGUUAGAGAGGAGAGAAAUGACUGAGCUUAUGAGUGAGAAGAUGAUGAUAUUAAUUCGGGGGAAGAAAUGGGAGCGAAAAGAGCUGAUAUUGAGUGGCUC
rnacentral:lncRNA from 1 species